GCAAAAAGUAACUGAAGUGGUUUAGACUGAGGGAGAUUUGCUACACUGGGCAAUGGAAGUCACAGAUAGAGAAGGUCACAAAGACCACUUCCUUGUCAACACAGGAAUGAUGUUGCUUGACUGGGCUGAAAGCUUAUGAGGAGCACCCAGGUUUGCGACAAGAGGAAGAUUUUGGCUCCUGAGUGCUAAAGAAACUGGACUGUCAUUCCACUUGUGCAGUUAUUUUUACUGGAAUUUGUGCUCUCCAACUAACCUCUCCAAUAUGCUCACCUGACUAAGCUACCACGUAUCAUACUGGCAUUGGACAGUCUUGGGAUAGUCAAGUCUGCUUCUGAGUUGGGAUUAAAUGCCAGAGCAGAAGUUGUGAAGAUACAAAAAGCCUGGCAUGAAAAGCACCUUGAGCAAUGACUAACAUGAAACAGGGCCAAACCAGCUCCUGGAUUCCCAGGACAGUAAGUUCAAAAGGAAAAGUUUAUAAUGACUUUCAUUAUAGUUUGACUCAAGGUAAAUACUUGAUUAAAGAAGACAUUACAUACUGUAA